GGAUUAGAUACCCUGGUAGUCCAUGCUGUAAACGAUGAGUACUUGCUGUUGGCGCUGGUGUAAAAGCGUUAGUGGCGAAGCAAACGCGUUAAGUACUCCGCCUGGGGACUACGGCCGCAAGGCUAAAACUCAAAGGAAUUGACGGGGACCCGCACAAGCGGUGGAGCAUGUGGUUUAAUUCGAUGCAACGCGAAGAACCUUACCACCUCUUGACAUCUGCAGAAAGCUUAAGAGACUAAGCUGUGCCUUAGGGAACUGCAAGACAGGUGCUGCAUGGCUGUCGUCAGCUCGUGCCG
rnacentral:rRNA from 1 species